AGCUAUGUUGGACUGAAUGCACCUGACCUUUACGUGAUCUUAGAAGCUAAACAAUAUUAUAUCUGACUAUUACUUGGAUGGGAGACCAUCUUGCAAGCCCAAGGUCUGUAGUUA
rnacentral:rRNA from 1 species